rnacentral:rRNA from 1 species
UAGGGAAUCUUCGGCAAUGGACGGAAGUCUGACCGAGCAACGCCGCGUGAGUGAAGAAGGUUUUCGGAUCGUAAAGCUCUGUUGUAAGAGAAGAACGAGUGUGAGAGUGGAAAGUUCACACUGUGACGGUAUCUUACCAGAAAGGGACGGCUAACUACGUGCCAGCAGCUGCGGUAAUACGUAGGUCCCGAGCGUUGUCCGGAUUUAUUGGGCGUAAAGCGAGCGCAGGCGGUUAGAUAAGUCUGAAGUUAAAGGCUGUGGCUUAACCAUAGUACGCUUUGGAAACUGUUUAACUUGAGUGCAAGAGGGGAGAGUGGAAUUCCAUGUGUAGCGGUGAAAUGCGUAGAUAUAUGGAGGAACACCGGUGGCGAAAGCGGCUCUCUGGCUUGUAACUGACGCUGAGGCUCGAAAGCGUGGGGAGCAAACAGGAUUAGAUACCCUGGUAGUCCACGCCGUAAACGAUGAGUGCUAGGUGUUAGACCCUUUCCGGGGUUUAGUGCCGCAGCUAACGCAUUAAGCACUCCGCCUGGGGAGUACGACCGCAAGGUUG